AGGAGGAGGAGGAGGAAGAGGAGGAGCGGAGUCAGAGCGCGGCGGCAGCGGCAGAGGCGGCCGCGGCGGGGACCAGCCCAGAGAGACCCCGAGCCCGCGGCAGAAGCGGCGGCGGCGGCUGAGCGGGCGCGACCAGCCGAGCGAGCGGCGGCGGCCCGGCUCCUCCUCGUCCGGCGCCGAGCGGCCCGCGCCCGCACUCGGCCCGCGGAGACCCGCCUCCCGCCCGCCGGCGGCCUCGUGAGGGACGCGCCGAGCCGGCGGCCGAGGAGCGGCGGCGGGCCGGGAGCGCGUCGGGCCGCGGGCGGAAAGUGCCUGCGGGGGCGGGGAGAGCGCGGCGAGCGCGCGGUCCGGCCGCCCCGGCGCCCGGCGCGGGAGCGGAGCGGAGCGGGACGCCGAGUCCCGAGCGGCCGGCGGCCGGGGCUCCCCGCCCCUCCCUCCUCUCCGGCGGCGGCGGCGGCGGCGGCGGGCGGAGUGAGCUGCGGAGCCUGGAAUAUGGUCGGGGAAAUGGAAACGAAGGAGAAGCCGAAGCCCACCCCAGAUUACCUGAUGCAGCUGAUGAACGACAAGAAGCUCAUGAGCAGCCUGCCCAACUUCUGCGGGAUCUUCAACCACCUCGAGCGGCUGCUGGACGAAGAAAUUAGCAGAGUACGGAAAGACAUGUACAAUGACACAUUAAAUGGCAGUACAGAGAAAAGGAGUGCAGAAUUGCCUGACGCUGUGGGACCUAUUGUUCAGUUACAAGAGAAACUUUAUGUGCCUGUAAAAGAAUAUCCAGAUUUUAAUUUUGUUGGAAGAAUCCUUGGACCUAGAGGACUUACUGCUAAACAACUUGAAGCAGAAACAGGAUGUAAAAUAAUGGUCCGAGGCAAAGGCUCAAUGAGGGAUAAAAAGAAGGAGGAGCAGAAUAGAGGCAAGCCUAAUUGGGAGCAUCUCAAUGAAGACUUACACGUCUUGAUCACUGUGGAAGAUGCUCAGAACAGAGCAGAGAUCAAACUGAAGAGAGCCGUUGAGGAAGUGAAGAAAUUACUGGUACCUGCAGCCGAGGGAGAAGACAGCCUGAAGAAGAUGCAACUGAUGGAGCUCGCAAUUCUGAACGGCACCUACAGGGACGCCAACGUCAAAUCACCAGCCCUUGCCUUUUCUCUUGCAGCGACAGCCCAGGCUGCUCCGAGGAUUAUCACUGGGCCUGCGCCUGUUCUCCCACCAGCUGCCCUGCGUACUCCUACGCCAGCUGGCCCUACCAUAAUGCCUUUGAUCAGACAAAUACAGACCGCUGUCAUGCCAAACGGAACUCCUCACCCAACUGCUGCAAUAGUUCCUCCGGGGCCCGAGGCUGGUUUAAUCUACACACCCUACGAGUACCCCUACACGUUGGCGCCAGCUACAUCAAUCCUUGAGUAUCCUAUUGAACCUAGUGGUGUAUUAGGUAUGGCUUUCCCAACGAAAGGCUAAGAAUUCAAGAACGGUCUUAACUGAACCCUCAUCAGAUCUGAAUUUAACAAAUGCUUAGUCUCAGCAGCCUCUGGGGGGGUGGGGGGGAGCUUAGCCUAGCAGUCAGUGACUCACUUGCACUUUUUGCACACUGAUAGAAAGUAAAAGUAUGUUAUUAAUUUGGUUUAGUCUGUAAUCUUACAAAGUAACGGUGAUUUAUAAAGGAGUGUAUAGUGUACUGACUGCUAAGGGCACUACACUGUUUGCUUUACUAAUCACCUAAUUCAUUGCAGUUCAUACUUAUUGACUCAGAGUUUCGAACCACAAUCUGUAGGCUGUAAGAAUUGCUUUUAAACCUUUUUAAGCGAUAAACUCUGGAAGUGGUCUUAAGGUUAGCAAAUAAUUGUCAGUAUUAAGCAUGGCAUUAUUGAAGUGGUCCUGCUGCGAGAAAGGCACUUCAGUGAAUAUGUGACUAGUAAAGCUGAAAUAUGUUUGGAUCUAAUAGAGUUCACGAAACACUGUACCUUGGGAUUGUGAAUGAACGCGUAAAACAGGUUAAGGCCAAGAUGUUUGAGAUGAAUGCAAUAUUAAUAGACGCAUAUAUACGCAACAUAUUAUGGUUAAUUUUAAAACUACUGUGCCUUAACAUGUUUCUUAAGAGGAAACUUUUGUAGUAAAAUGAACCUUUGAAAUCCAUUUUGAUAAACCUGCUGUUUAAUGUUUGUUUUCUUUUCCCUUGUGAAUGUUUUCUAACUUUGUCUUGGUAAUUGCAAUUUAACUAGGUGCGGUGGCUACUAAAGUUCGAAGGCACGAUAUGCGAGUCCAUCCUUACCAAAGGAUUGUGACCGCAGACCGAGCCGCCACCGGCAACUAACCUAUGACCUUCUGACCUCUGAACUCUUCACCCAAUGAUGACCUGACCAUGCCUGCCUGCUGAUCAGUUAACUGGUAAUCGCCUUUGCUUGCCUGUCGUCAGUGCAGCGAGCUGAGGCACUUGUCCGUUCGUCUUACCAUCUAACCAAACAAAAGACAAAGAAAUUGUUGUCCUCCGACUCAGCUUUUGGUUUUUCUUUCUGUUUGGGUGAAAGUGGUUCUAGAACCUGCACUGAAUAGUAGUAAAGCAAUAAGGCCCAAUUCAUCCCACAGCACUGAUCAUCUUUUCACGUCCUACCCUAAGCGAACGGUAAGAAGGCCUCACUUCAGAAGGGGAGACAGAUGGCCCUUAACUACUCAGUGACAGAGGCAGUUACUGUGAGAGACUUGUAGGAACCUUCUUCUCAUAGCGAGCACAGCUCUCUGAAUGUACCGUGUGAUGAUGCAUCAUGCAUGGACCUUUGGUCAGGGACGCCAUUGGUGAAGUGACUUCAAAAAGUAUUCAAAAUUUGAUACGCUGUUUAGUCACUACAGUGCCCUCAAAGGGCAGAAGUUGCAGCCUUUUUUAUAUUGCCUGCCAAAAUUGGAAGUAUUAGCAGUGUGCCAUGAGAGAUCAGCCUGACAAGGAAUUUUGAGAAGUAAUGCAAAGAACAAAAACUGCAACACUAUUUUUAAAAAGAUAAAUAAUAUCUGAGUUAAAAUUACUGAACCUUUAUUUUACAACCUCCUUUAAAAAAUAUACGAGAACAAGGUACAUGCAUUAUGUGUCACAUUACUGGGCAAACUGUUCAAAUAUUUUUUUUAAACCUCCCUGUAUAGAAAAAAACAAAAAUCAUUAAGGAUGUAAAAGCCAUGCUUGCCUAUUUGCUGUAUACAUGUAAUGAAAUUGUAGAUAAAAGUGUAGUGCAUUGAAACAAAUGAACAAAAAGUAGAUACUUUUACUAUACAAGGGUGCUGGUGCAGAAAAAAAUAUAUAUAUUUUUGGAAAUGUAGCAUUUUAUACUUUCAAGUGUUAUAAAAAAAAAAAAGAAAAAGAACAAAGAAACCCUUUAUUUCAUUAAAUGAUUUUUUCUGGUGGUUGUCAAGAAACAAAAGACCAAAAGAGCCUUUUUGUCUUUCUUUUUUAUUUUUUAAGUAUUGGAAUAAGUCUAAAGAAAAGAAAGUGCCUUAUUUUCCUUCAUGGUCAUUUAGUCAAGUGUCUUGUAAGAUCAGCUCCUCCCUCAGAAUACAAGUUAAUGCAUGUUUACUCAGUCGCCCGCCCAGUAUGUGAAAGAAGAUUUGAGGGGAGACCAAUGAGUUGAUGGUUUGGAUUAUAUGAUUUUUGCCACGUACCUUGAUACAAAUUUGCCAAAUCUGAUACUGUGAAAAAUUUGAUAACUUUUCUAAUGCCUGGCGAGUAAGUUUUAAAACAUCAUUCUUUUAAAAUCAUUACUGAGUGCUCUUGGUUACUGUGAUAUUUAAAGUUAGCCCAACAGGUUCUAAGAUGAAAAUUAUGUGUGAUCGGAACAUCAAUUUGCAGACAAAAUUAGAACUUUAUUUUAUUCAGAGAAGGAGGGGUGUGCUGAAUUCUUUCUUACUAAAUUGGAGAUAAAUAGUAUUCUUAGCAGACUUUUUCACAAAAAAUGAAUCUUUGUGAUUUUCCUUCAGGAUAACAGUAUUUUUUAAUGGCCCAAAUUUAACCAGACUUCUUUCUACCCUACCUGAUUACUUGGGUGGUCCGUUUCUUUGGUGGCGUUUAGUGACCCAAGCGGCCCCUCCCACCCCUCCCCCGCGCCCCCCCCCCCACACCUGUUUGUUUGUUUUCACUUUAAAAAAAAACUGGCAUCACUGUGCAUGUAAAUGCUCAACUACAUGUGACUUUAAGCUUCUGGUUUCUCACGAAUUUCAGUUUCGUAGUUGAAACGGUUUGUGCGCAGAGCCCGACCACGUCCGAACACUUGAGUAAAUCGCCCAUAACUGCUCAGUAUCAGAUGUGGCAGAUUUCAAGUGGCAGUGGAUCCCCAGCUCAUCGGCUCACUCCCUCCCGCAUCCCUUCACAGCUUCACAGUCAAAGGUCAGCAGUGAGCUCAGUAAGCACCUUCGUGGUGACCUCCGUCAUCUUGUCUCACUUGGAAACCGUUUUCAGUUCAUUUACUAUGCAAUAGACAUUCAUUGUUUUGUAUUCAGCUAGCGUUGGUUUCAUGUGCCACUGCUUUGUCUUUCUGUUACACAUACAGUCGUUUUGAUUUAUUUACGGUAUAUGCUGUGCCAUUUUGAUUUUUAUUUUGGUUGGUUGGUUGAAUAAAUUUGCGACACUCGAACACUUGAGGUGAUAGUAGUUUAAAACCAGUACCAGUAUUUGACCCAGUCUCAUCUCAACUGUGUUACACCUGGACAUUUUAGAUGUUUAUCAAAGGUCUUUUAUGGGGAAGAAAGUAAAUGUAUGGGAUAAAUGUGACGUUUCUAAGUAAUGUUGGCUCUGAACAAACUUUUGGAAACUUAGUUGAUAAAAUUUUGGAUCAACUGAAAAAAAAGCAUGACUUUUGAAAUCUCUGAAUGCCUUGGUUCUCAGUAUUAUCAUUCUUUAUUGAAUUUAUUUCUUAUUAAAAUAUGUAGUUUUUAAGACUUCUUUUCUGACAGUAUUAUGUAAUUUUUUAGCGUGGGUAGAUGGGAGUGUCGCUUGUAUGUUACCGUACAGCCGACAUGUAUUUUUGUCAAUUCUUUAUUAUCUUAGUAGUUUCAUGCUGUGUAUGUAUCAUAACCAACCUAUUGCCUAUGAGAAACAUGUAAGAUAAUGUAUUUACAGCCAUUGUUACAAGUUUAUAAUGUAUUUUUCUAUCUUGUUUUAUAUGUAUGUUAUAUAACAUUCAAAAAGAAUUUUUUUCUUGAUUGAGAAAAGGAUACAAAAUGCAGAAUCCACAAUUUUGAUAACUGAAAAUUGCCACUUGUUUUGCAGUACUUUAUUAUAUUGGGUGUCUUGUCUUUCUUGGGCUUUUAGUUUAGCUAAUGAAUGAAUACAUUAGACACUUUUGGGUUUUAGUUGGGAUUUUACAUAGCUUGCAUUUUAAUUCUUUGGUUCUUUGCUGUUUCUAUUAACCCAUAGCAUUAUUUUAAUAAAUGUUAUAAUACCAACCUA